CACAAAUAAGAUUUUAUAUAUGGACACUUUCCUCUUUGUUAGUGCCUAUAUAUCAUAUCACAUACAACUAAACAAGUAAUAUGUCUUGUUUUGUAUUGAGGUACUGUGUGAAAGGAAUUUAGAUCUAUCGAAAAUAGAUGUAGGCAAUUAAAAAUAAAAAAAUUAAUUAUUUAAUUAAUUUUUUCGGAAGAACUGUUCACUGUUACUGUUUACCGCAACUAUUCACACUUACCAUUCACGGUCACUGUUCAUCCGCAUAAAAAAUAUUAAUUUUUCAAAAAUACAAUAAAAUGUAGAAAACAAAUGACAUGGAGAUUUUUACGUGGUUCAGAUUAAUCAAUCCUACAUCCACGAGGCCACGCCCAGAUGAAAAAUAAUUCACUAAGUUGAGAUGUUACAACCUUUGGAUUGACCAAACUUAAGACUCUCACUUACAGUUUAACAACAUACAAUUUACUCAACCUUAGAAUGAAUCUGCUUCUCUUGAAUAAUUGCUACCCCUCUUGAUCCACGAUCCUCAAGGCACUUCACAAAGUGAUCAAUAGCAAUUCUUCAAUGUCUAGUGAUCCAAAAUCCACAUAGACUCUCCACGAAGAUGAAAAGAAGAUAAUAAAACAAAUCAACACAACAUUAUGCACCAAAUCUGGAUUCUCUAGGGAGGAGGCCGAAUUUCGCUUCUCUGCUUUAUGCUCUGUGUUGUGCGAUCAAACUUCAAUUGUGAAAUACCUCUUUUUAUAAAGGCACUAGGGUUUCACCAAAAUAGCAAGUUUUAAAAGACUUGGAUUCUUUCCAAAUAAGAGUUUCUUUCCUCUUAUAAUUCCCAUGAAUCUGAAUAUGAUUAAAUAUGAUCUUCUUGCCUUACUUGUCUUCUAAGAAAUAUCUAGAGCAUUUAAUGACUUCCUGCUUGAACCAACUUCUUGUUCUAAAUAGAUCUCAUGUGUCAAUUAUAGAAUCCCACCAUUAAUUGACUUCCUAAAAUAAACAUCUAAUUAAAUUAGAAAACAAAUAUUCCUAAUAAAUUGGAAUCUCACUAAAUUAGGCAAUUAAUAAAUUAAUCCCUAUUACAAGAUAUGCAAUAAAUAAACUUCCAAUUUAACUAGACUUACCAUAAAAUGCCAACUCUAUAAAUAAUGGACUUAACAAUCUCCCCCUUUAGCAUACUUGUGGCAAAAGCAAUCCAACACAAGUCUUCCAUGGACUUUGGCGCUAAGAUAUGAACCUGGACAAGUAUAAACAACAACAAGGAACUAGCCAAAAUAAUUGACAAUUAGCAUGUUAGUUCAUGAAAAUAAACCAAGGUAAGAAUUAAAAUAAAAUGCUAAUUUUAUUGAUCAAUAAAUGGAAAGAGAACAUUAAGCAGAAAAUUAAGAGCAAUAAAAAUAUAAACUCCCCCUAAGAACUAGAAUCCAAAAAUUAAAAAUUCUUGAAUAAAAUCUCUCCCUAGAAUGGAAAAUACUACUCCCCCUAACUCAUUGCAUUGAGCAAUUGAAGACUUGAAACAAAUUACUCCCCCUCUUUUGCCAAAAGAUUACAAAAGAGAAGUAGUUUUGUAUGCAAUUUGGCCAAGCCAAACGAGUAGAAAGAUUAGCAAUAUCUUGCCCUUGUUUCAAAAUGGUGGCCUCAAGAUGGACAAGAUUAGGAGCAAAAGAGGUAGAUGGAGGAGAAGAGCGAACAGAGGUGGCAACAAAAGUAGGAAGAUCACGAAGAGUACUAGGAGGAGCUCCACUGGUGACGGCGCGUGAGGGUGCGUGUGGCAGUGGCUGGUGGUCGAUAAUGGCAGCAUGAACAAUGGCGGCAUUGGUGGUGAUCCUAGCGUCAAAGGAGGAAGGGCCAGAGUGAAAACUAUCUUCACUAGGAUCACUUUCCAUGGAGUCGCUGUCACUUGAAUGCAUGGAUUCUUCAGGAGGUAUUUGUCCAAAUUUGGGAUCAAAAUCCUCAUCAUCAUCAAGUAUAUGAAUCUCAUGAGGCCGUCCACAACCAGAACAAAGGUAAGGUGUAAGAGUGGGACAACGCUUGGGAUUAGAGUAAGCAUGAGAGCUCUCACCAGUGUUAAGCUUAGAAGCCAUGGAAGAGGAAUAUUAAGAACAAGGGAAAAAAAGUUUUAAAAAGAAGAGCGAACAAAAUCUGGACCAGCCAAAAGAAGGGAGAAAGAAGCCACAAAUUGGAAUGCAGAACAAGGAUCUAAGGGUUGCUUUAUAUAGAAGAACUUGACUUGUUCAAGUAAGGUUUGGAAAUCCAACUAACAUAAGAAAAACAUUAAUAAAGCGGAUUGUAUUCCAAUUUAAUGCACUAACCAUCAUAGAUUUCAUUCCAGAUCAGUAAUUAAACAUAAACCAACUCAAACAAGUCAGAAACAAAGAGGAAAAUAUCAAAACGAAAUCCCAUGCAGGAUACUUUACGAAACAGACAUACAGUGCAGAGCAGAGAACUUGAAAAUUAAACUGAGAAUGAAUGAGACAGAAUCAGAAUGCAAUAUAUAUACCAUUGGAAAGCUUAUUGAAUCAGAUUUUUACAGGAUUUUACAGAAUCAAAUUUAGAGUUCUGUAGACAAAGUUAUGACCAAAAGAUCGCAACAUGCUCAGUUGUGACAGGAAAAGCUUGUCAAUGCACUAUAAAAAAAAUUGAGUUAUGCUUAAAAAAAAUGUGUCUCUUAAGACUUAAAAGCGUAUCAUUAUGUAAGAACAUGAGAAUGCACAUGCAAAAUGAAUUUUUUUUUGUUUUAAAAAAAUGCAUUAAUAAUGAAAUUGAACAAAAAAAUAUUUGAGAAUUUUUCACAACAAGCAUUAAUUCAUGUAAUCAAGAUUAUAAUUUCCUCAAUUAAGUAAAGAUUAAAGAAAUCUAAGCUUGUGUGUGCAAACAACUCUAUCUAAACUUUUUUCCCAAAAAAUCAUCAAUUUUCACAGUCAAAGUCUUAAAUAUAAAACACAGAGUUUGUCAAACUAACCUUAUCAUCUUGAUCUCCAAUUUUUGACCAUUUCAAUUGACAAACCUUUUUUUUUUUGUGUGCUUGCAAAGCCUUUUAUUCAUUUUUUUUUAAAUUUACGGUCAGGAGCUUUCACUCUACCCCUUCAGGUAGCCUUCUUCUCAUGAUUUGUCCUCUGUCAUUUUUGUGAUACGCAGACUCAGAUUACUCAAGGAUAGCUUCACUCUUAAGAGUUAUAGGUAGUUAUUUCUGACCAUAGUGUCUGCAUAUAUUUGAGGUCUUAUAACAAGAUAAGAAUCAAGGCAAACAGUUAUAACUCAAGUUAAAUAUUCUCAACAAAGACCAUGUCAAUAUCAAAACCUUGAGUCAAAGUAGAGGCUGAAUUGUCAUUCAUGUGCUUUUGAAGAAAGGUUAAAUAACUCUAAUCAAAACUUAUUCAAGACUUUCAAAUCUUUAAAAACAUGAAAGGUUAAAAUGGAACACAAAAACAAUGAUUUAAAAUUGAAAUUUAUAAAUGCAUGACCUAUAUCUAAUGCAAAAAUGCAUGAAAAAAAAAACUAAAGAAAAACAUUUGAACUUACAUGGAACACACACCUAAAGCUUUCCUUAAAGAUUCAAAUCGUUUGGAGUCUAAAGCUUUUGUGAAAAUAUCUGCAAGUGUUUUUAUAUCAAUGUAUUCUAAGGGCACGGUCUUGCUCUCAACUAAAUCCCUAAUGAAGUGAUGACGAAUAUCAAUAUGCUUAGUUCUACAGUGUUGAACAUGAUUUUUAGAAAUAUUGAUAGCACUCGUGUUAUCACAAAACACAGUCAAAGUAUCCUGAACCAUACCAUAAUCUGCAAGCAUUUGUAUCAUCCAGAGCAAUUGGGUGCAACAACUUUCAGCUGCAAUAUAUUCAGCUUCAGCCGUGGAAAGAGAAAUUGAAUUCUGUUUCUUACUACGCCAUGGUACUAAGUUAUUUCCAAGAUAAAAAAAUCCUCCAGUGGUGCUUUUUCUAUCAUCAAUAUUGCCAGCCCAAUCUGCAUCACUAUAUCCUGCAAGACUUGAAUUAGUGUCAUUAGUGUACCAAAUUCCAUCAUUAACUGUUCCACUAACAAAACAAAUGAUUCGUUUGACAGCAGCUAAGUGUGAUUCCUUUGGAUUUGCUUGGUACCUAGCACAUACACCAAUACUGAAACAUAUAUCUAGUCUACUUGCAGUCAAAUAAAGUAAGCUACCAAUCAUGCUUCUGUAAAGACUAGGAUCAACACUAGAACCAUUAUGAUCAACAGUUAACUUGGCAUUAGUGCUCAUAGGGGUUCUCAAGUGUUUUGCAGAAUCUAAACCAAACCUCUUGACUAAACUCUUUGCAUACUUACUUUGAUUAACAAAAAUUUCAUUCUCCAUUUGUUUCACUUGCAAACCCAAAAAGUAAGUUAAUUCUCCCACCAUGCUCAUCUCAAAUUCCUUUUUCAUUUGACUCACGAAUUCAUGCACAUGAUGAGAAGAAGUAGAACCAAACACUAUAUCAUUAACAUAGAUUUGAACAACUAAAAUCCUUGAAUUAAGUUGCUUAAUAAAUAAUGUUCUAUCUACUCCCUCACGCUUAUAGCCAUUUUCAAGCAAAAAAUUGGUCAACCUUUCAUACCAAGCUCGAGGAGCUUGCUUUAAACCAUACAAAGUCUUUUUUAAUUUAAAAACAUGGUUUGGGAAAUAGGGGGUCUUCAAAACUUUUGAGUUGUUCAACAUAGGCUUCUUCGUUUAAGAUGCCAUUAAAAAAUGCACUGUUAACAUCCAUUUGAAAUAAUUUAAAGCCUAUUAAACAAAUAACUAGAAAAACCAAACGAAUAGAUUCUAGUAUAGCAACAGAUGCAAAGGUUUUAUCAAAGUCAACCCAUGCAUACCAAGAGAAAUCAUCUACACACACAAAUGCGUACCUUUUUCCAGCCAAAGUUUCAACUUGCAUUGGUCCCAUAAGAUCCAUAUGAAGUAGUUGUAGCACCUUUGAUGUUGCUUUAUCCUGAAUGGCUUUAUGCGACGCCCUUUGUUAUUUUCCAGAUUGACAUGAGCCACAUAUUCCAGGUUGUUUCUUUUUAAGCAUUGGAACUCCUUUUACAGCACCUGUUUUCACAAUUCUAGCUAGUAAUCUGUAGUUCAAGUGACCCAACUUUUGAUGCCACAAUUCUGUGUCAUCAAGAGUGGUCUUAUGACACACAAUUGAGCUAGUCAAUUUAUAACGAUGAUCAGAUGAUCGAUGUUCUUCCAAAAUGCAAUUUCCAUCAACAUCAAGAACGCGACAUUUGUUCAUGUCAAAAUUGACAAACAAGUUUUGAUCACAAAUUUGAUUAAUACUGAGUAAAUUUGCUUUGAGAUCCUCCACAUGCAGAACAUUGUCAAGUUUUGGAAACCCUUCCACAUUUAAAGUUCCCUUUCUAAGCACUCGACUUUUCACACCAUCAGCAAAUGUUACAUUUUCUCGAUCAAGUUUUUGAUAAUUGGUCAAGGCAUUUCUAUCACCUGUCAUAUGUCUAGAACAACCACUAUCAAAAUACCAAAAAUCAGUAGUGUAAGUUCUCAAGGAAAUAAAGGAAACAUAAACUUUAUAAUCAGUCUUCCUUAUCCAAGUAGUUCUAAGUUUAUUUUCACUUGUCUCAACCUUAGGUCUAGGUGUCAUCCUAGGUUUUACAUGAGUAUAAUUAAAGAACAUAGCCUUUUUCAUUUAUUUAAUGAGCUUGAAACAAUUAGGUCUUAUAUUUCCUUUCAUAUGACAAAAAUGACAAGUGGGAAUAAAUUUGUUGUUCUUACCUUGAUGAACUAGUGAGAAUGUGCAACAACUUUACCUUUUUGAAGAUAUGGAAGUUUAACUAUAGGUGGAGAAGUUGUUUGUGAAGAAGCUUUAACAAACACACCUUGAGAAUUUGAGUCUUUACCAUGUUGAUAUCCAAGACCAUGAUGAUCUAAGCUAGAUUUGUCGAGUGACAAGAUAUGGUUUAACAUCUGAGUUCCAGAACUCAUCAUCUUAAGUGACUUUUUGGUAUUCUCUAAUUCUGUCGUCAUUGCAAGCAAUUGGUUAUCUUUGUCAGUAAGUAAAGACUUGUAAUGAAUUACCUCACUCUCAAGUUUCGCCUUAUCAUCUAAAAGAUUGGAUACUUGAGUCAUCAAUGUCACAUUCUCAUUGUAGACUUCUUCCCAUUUAGCGAACAUCAUCUUGUAGCUUUCAUGAAAUGCUUUCUUGUCAUUUAUAUCAAUGUCACUGACGUUGCUAUCUGAAUCAUUAUUUUGGUUAACAUGUUGCACAAUUGUGUCAAGACGGGAAUCAGUGUCUUCCUUGCAAGGAGCUCAGUGCGAGGAUUCAGUUGUGGAUGCAUCUCUGAUGUUUGAUUCAUGUUUAUUGCUAUCAUUAUGCACAAUAAGUCCUCCAACAAGAUCUUCUUCAUCAAUGCUAUCAUUUGAAUCAUCAUCACUCCAAGUGGAUUGCAUUGCUUUCUUUUUCAUUAAAGUGUUAGCACAUUGUGCUUGUAUGUGUCCUAUGCCUCCACAUUCUCUGCAUUGAAUACCCUCAAGCUUAUUAAGAUCAAACAAUUUAAAAUUAGGGUUAGAAGAACCUUCUUGAGUUGUUGGAGCCACUGAUGUAGAGGUCUUCCUCGAUUUGUUGAAGUUCUUCUUUUUUCAACAUUUUCUUGAAAUUAUUUGCAAUGAGUGCAAGAGAAUUAUUAACAUAUAUAUAUGGUGAAAUACAAGUGUGCAACCCAAGAGGGGGGGUGAAUUGAUAUUUUAAAAAUUAUCCUAACAAAGCCACACAACAAUCUAAUUUAACGCCUUAAUAAAUUCGAAAGCAAUAAGUUCAAUAAGAGCACCAUAACAAAUGAGUAAGAGAGAAGAGAAACAAACACAUGAAUUUUUACGUGGUUCGGCAAUCCCCGCCUACGUCCACGUCUCCAAGCGAUCCAAGCUUGAGGAUUUCACUAUCCAAGCCUUCCAAGACUUCAAACGAUUACAAUUGACUUCAAGGUGCAAAUGAAUCUUUACAACAAAGAGAUUAUCUCCCAAUCUCUUCACUCAAGUGUCUCACACACUCAAACACUCACAAUUAAGAUGAAGAAAUGAAAGUUACAACCAAAACUCUCUUAAAGAGUAGAUGUACAAAUUGAAGAACAACAAUGAUUCAAUGAAUAAUGACUUGCGAAUUGAUAGCUCAAGAUAUGUUGUGUGCUUUUUGUUUUUGCUUGUUGGAGAGCUUGAAAAUGAAUUGGAUUUGAGUUUUUAUAGUUUGAGCUAAAAAACUAGCCGUUAUGCACAUUUUGGUGAUAACCGACUUACCAUUUAUGGACAUCUAGUUAGCCACUUAAUGUUACCAUUAAAGCCAAAAUUUAAAUUUUUGAACAUUUAAUGGACAUCUAGUUAGCCACAUUUUGUUAUUUUAUAUAAGCAAGCUUAAGUUAAAUGAAAAAGAAAGGUUUACGAAAGAAAAAGAGAUCAAAACAAGAAAAAUGAACUCAUUGAAUGAACUUAUGAUAUCAAAAUGCUUAUUUCUACUCAAGUCACCAAGAAUGUAAACAUUUUUUUUUGUUUUUUUUUUUUGUGAUUUUUCUUUUUCUUUUUAUUUUUGUUUUUGAAUCAAACAAAAGAAACGAACCUUGCACAAUUUAAUUCAAGCAUAAUGCUUGUUGAUCUAAUUGAGAAACUUUAUUACAAGUUAGAAAAAGCAACAAAAUAUAUCCACACAAUGAGUCCAAAAAUCUCCUUAAAUUGAGGCUAAAAAAAAAAGAAAAAUGGUUAAGUAGACGGAGAGAAUUAGAUGGGUAAUUGUUAAGGCUCAAACAAAGGUAGCAAAUAAAGGUCUUUGGGUAGAGAAAAAGGAAAAUGCGAGAAUAGAAAAAUGGUAAAUGGUUUGCCCUAAUCAUUUUAAUGCAUAAAAUCCCGUAAUGUGGCUUCAACAUGCAUAAUAAAGCAAGUUCUAAAAUAAACAAACUAGAAUUGAUAUUCACAUAAUAAAAAUAAUUAGAGCAAAGUGGUUGCUCAUAGGCUCAAAUCCUCACAAAGUUGGUAAAUUUGCCAUCAAAUCCUGUACACUCUUCAAAUGAAUCAACCAUCAAUAGUGGUGUAGAAUGAGAAGAAGGUAUGAAUGAGAUAUAAAAGGAAAGGUAAAAAGGAUAAUAAGCGAGAAAGAUGUAUGUAGUAAUAUGAAAAGUGAAAGAUAAAAUGUGAGUGAUGAAAGAGUAUGGUAAAAUAAAAAUAGACAUGAAUAAUUUGAGAUAGAUGGGAAAAAAGUAGUGAGAAGGAAAAGGAAAGAAAAAUAAUAAUAUAUGAAGCAUACUAACUCCAAAAUCAUUUAAAGAUGAGUAGAGUGAAAAUAGAUGAGUAGAGUGAAAAUAAUAAUUCCAGGCAUCAAUAAUGCAAAAAUCCCUCCCCCACACCAAUAACUUACAUUGUCCCCAAUGUAAGAUAAUCAAAGCUCACAUAAAAAUUAAAGCGUAAGGAUAAAAGAUUAAGGGCAAAAAGAAACUUCCCUGAAUUGUGAGCUUUGAUCCACAUAACGUCUAUGGGCUUGGCGGAAAUGGUGGGGUAAAUCCCACACUCUCGAAGUAUGCGGCCAAAUUUUGCUCCAUCUUGUUCAGCUUGUGCUCCAUUUUCUCUAACUGAAUACUCAAGGGUGGUGCGGAUGUAGAAGGAAUAGUUGGCGGGGCAGCAGUGUCGUCGUCAAACUCGUCAUCAGAGGUAGCACCACUCCUAGCAUAAAGCUUCUUCGGAAGUUAAGUGGGUCCUAGUUCAGUAAACUGAAAUCUCCCCUCCUUGAAUUCAACCACACCUGUUCUUUCAAACACAGACAUAUCCAAAAAUUCCUUUUUGCAAGCAGGAUGCAAAUCAUUAUUGUCGGGAUCAAGCACACAUAGGUUUAUAGCUAACAGAGUAAUGUAUGGACCCAGAAAUAAAGUCCUAUACCGUUUAAGCACAUUUUGAAAUUGAUCCGCUAACCAAAAACCUAAAUUAGGCCUCACAUCAUUUAACAUGCACCAGAUAAAAUAAAAUUCAGUUUUAGAGAAAAUUCUUGAGUGAUCUUUCUUGCCUAAAACAUUAUAUGCUAAGAAUCGAUGCACACAUUUCAAAACAGGAUCACGUAAAAAAGAACUCUUUGAUUUACUCGGGUCAUAGGCAUUGUGAUCAACAGAUAAAUUACGCCAAAGACCAAAAGGCUCAAAAUUUUUGCUAAAGUCACAAGUUGUUCCUAAAUAUGCAUCACUAGAAGAAUAAUCAUCAUCAAUGAAUCCUAAAGCUAGGUUAAAAUCCGUGAUAGAGUGUGAAAAAUUUCGUCCCAUUAAUCUAAACUUAAUGACAUCCGGGGUAUGCAAAGUAAAAUCAUUCGGCAUAGUAAAUUGAAAAGUAGCAUAAAACUCCCUAAUCAACUCAACAUAACUCAAACAAUCAACAUCAACAAAUUUACGCAACCCAAUCUUAUCUAUUAAAGAAUCAAAAUUAUCCUUAACAUUCAAUUUUUCAAGAGUCGGGUAAUGAAUAUACUUAGCUGGAAGUAUUUUGCGCGUGGAAAUAUCUUUGUACCUCUCUUUCUCUUGUUGAGUCGCGAACGCAAAGCACCCUCCGAGAUUGGAUUCCGCAAGUGGCAAAAUACUCAUGCCUUUUCCAUGCUUCGAUCUUUGUCUCACGGCUUGGCGUGAAUCUGAAAUUGUGUUCCAUGGAACCGUAGUGGGAGCGGCAAUCUUAGAUUUCUUUGCGAUGGAUGUCUUUUUCGAUGACUUGGAAGUUGAUGCUUUCCUCUUCGGUAUUGUUACAAUAAUUGCACUCACAGAUUUCGUUUUACCCGGCUGGAAUAUAGGGCGUAAGCUGGUUGCGUUGCAGGGUGUGCCCGUUGCUGCGUUACGGGCUUGCGUUGCGCGCUGGUGAGGCUUGCUUUGAGGGUGCUGCGCUGCGUUGCGCGCUGGUGGGACUUCGUUGCGUGCUGCUGGGCUGCGAGACACGGGAUGCUGGUGCUGCAUGCGCGGGGGCUUGCGUUGCGCGCUGGUGGUUCGCGUUGCUGGUUCGCGCUGCGUUGCUGGGCUGGAUCUACGCACUGCUGCGUUCGCGUUGUGUUGCGCGCGAGAGCUGGUUCGCGCUGCUGCUCAGCUACGUUGCACGCGGCUGGAGCUGAGAAUCUGGGUUGCUGGGGCUUGCGUUGCGCGCGACUGGUUCGCGCUGGAAGCUGCUUGCGUUGCGGGGUGAAGGCUGGAGCUGAGGCGCGCUACUGUAAAACGAUAAUCAACAGUAAUUUUUGAAUUAGGGAUUUGUGAACAAUGAUUUUCGAUUUUUGGGUUUUUUUUAGUAAAUAAAUAAAUAAAUAUAUAAAAGAAAGAACAAAAGAAAAUCUCUUUUUUUUUUCGUUUUUUUUUAAAAAAAAAUUAAAUUAAAUUAAAUUUAAAAUAAAGAUUUUUUUUUUUUUUUUUUAGUGAUGAAACACUUGGAGACACCAAAAAUUUCAAAAGUACUUUUUUAAUAAGCACGUGGGCACGCCUUAAAACUAUUUUACUUUAAAAAUUACAGAAGUAUUUUUUAGUUAAGACGUGGGCACGCCUUAUCAAAAAUUUUCUUCUGGCCAAAAUAAGCAAACACAUUAUUUUAAAAAAAAUCUGAAUCAAAAUUAAAAGAAGAUAUAACAAAAAUCAAAAUAAAUAAAUCAUUUGGGUUGCCUCCCAAAAAGCGCCUUUGUUUUAUGUCUUUGGCUAGACACAUUUAUGCAUCAAUCUCCAUAAUUGGGACUCUCGAGAUCCACAUCCUCCACAAUAUUCACCGAAAAACCUUCAUAAAAAGGUUUUAAGCGAUGACCAUUAACCUUAAAAACUUUGUCAGAGGUCGGACUCCGAAUCUCAACUGCACCAUGAGGAAAAACAUUAGUAACAAUAAAAGGUCCAACCCAGCAAGAACGUAAUUUACUCGGAAAAAGUUUAAGCUUAGAAUGAAAAAGAAGAACUUUUUGACCAACAGAGAACUCUUUUCUCAAAAUUUCCUGCGCUAUAGGGUUAAUAACAUCCACAGAAAAUACCGAAUGUUCCUCACUAGGAUAUUUCAUGGUAUCAUUCAUAUUGAAUUCUAUAACCUCUCCAUCAAACUCCAUAGUGAGAGUCCCUUUAUGUACAUCCAUUUUAGUCCUAGCAGUCUUAAGAAAAGGUCUUCCUAGCAAAAUUGGGACAAAAUUAGAGGAGUUAUCAUCUUCCAUAUCAAGUACAUAAAAAUCAGCAGGAAAAACCAACUCAUUAACUUGUACUAAGACAUCUUCUAAUACCCCAUCAGGAUAUGCAUUAGACCUAUCAGCUAGUUGAAUUAUCACGCCAGUUUCUUUUAAUGGACCAACAUUCAAAGAUGAAUAAAUGGAACGAGGCAUGACAUUAAUAGAAGCUCCUAGAUCUAACAUAGCUUUUUCAACUCUAACACUACCAAUUUUACAAGGGAUAGUAAACAUACCUGGAUCCUUGCACGUAGGAGGUAGUUUCUUUUGGAGAAUUGCUGAACCAUUCUCCCCCAUGUGAACUUUUUCAUCUUCUCUUAAUUUUCUUUUGGAGGUGCACAGUUCCUUAAGGACUUUAGCAUAUCGAGGUAUUUGUUUUAUAGCAUCUAAUAAAGGAAUAUUUACCUCAACCUUGCGAAAUGUCUCAAGGAUGUCUUUCUCUUGUUCCUCCUUCUUAGAUUUUACAAACCGGCUUGGAAAAGGAGGAGGUAUCACAAUAGGUAGGGGUUUCGCUCUGGUGGGUUGUGCAUCUUGAGAUUGAGGCAUCAAUUCAUUCUUCUCAAGCUCAUCUUGUACAUGCUCUGUCACUUUCUUACUAGGCUCUUGCAACUCCUUCCCACUUCUAAGGAUGACAGCACUAACAUUUUGCUUUGGAUUCACCUUAGAUUGUGAAGGCAAUCUCCCUAAUACUUGAGACUCCAGACGGCUCACUGUAGUCGCCAAUUGACUCAUUUGGUUCCCCAAGUUCUGAAUGCUUGCUGUAGUUGCCUGCUGAAAUUGUUGACUGUUAGUCGCAAGUGAUUUAACAAUUUCUUCAAGAGAUAUACCUGACUUGGAGUUUGACUGUGGAGGUGUUGGUUGUCUUGGUGGAUACUAUUGUGGGAAUCCUGACGGCCUAACUCCAUAGCUGAAGUUGGGAUGAUCCUUCCAUCCCGGAUUGUAUGUUUGUGCAUAAGGAUCAUACCUCCUCUGAGGUAUGCCUAGAAAUCCUCCAACUGCAUUGGCAUGUUCAACGGGUUCUUCUUGAAGUGUAGGACACAUAUCAGUUGAAUGACCCAUAUUGUAACAAAUGCCACAAGUCUUCACCUGUUGCACAUUAUCUACAACAAACUUUUCCACAAGAGAAGUAAGUUUAUCUAAACGUUGUUCAAUAGAAGAAAUAUUUACCUCAUUCACCGUUCUUGAAGUGGCAUCUUGUCUGCUGCCAAAUUAUUGUGCAUUGGCAGCCAUAUUUGAGAUCAACUCCCUUACUUGAGUAGGGGUCUUGUUCACCAACACACCUCCACUAGCAGCAUCUAUCAUACUCCUAUCUAUCAAUGAUAGUCCUUCGUAAAAAUAUUGAAUAAGAAGUUGAUCAGAAAUCUGAUGCUGAGGACAGCUGGCACACAAUUGUUUGAAUCGCUCCCAAUACUCAUACAAAGUCUCCCCAGGAAGUUGUCUGAUCCCACAAAUAUCUUUUCUGAUGUUGGCAGCUCUUGAAGCAGGAAAGUACUUCUCAAGGAACUGCUUCUUCAAACCAUUCCACGUUGUAAUCGAUCCAGGAGGCAAGUAGUACAACCAAUCUUUAGCUAGCCCAUCUACAGAGAACGGAAAAGCACGCAGCUUAAUCUGCUCUUCAGUCACGCCUUGUGGCCUCAUACUUGAGCACACAACAUGAAACUCCUUAAGAUGUUUAUGAGGAUCUUCACCUGCAAAACCAUGAAACUUGGGUAAUAAAUGAAUAAGACCAGACUUUAAUUCAAAAUUUACCUCCAAAUCUACAUAUUGAAUGCAGAGUGGUUGCUGAUUCAAGUCUGGUUCAGCUAACUCUCUAAGAGUUCUUUCUACAGGUGCAGGUCUAUCCAUCACUUGUUCUUCUGAAUCACUAGAUGAUUCAACUAAAUCAGGUACUGUAUCUAUUUCAGAAAGCAAAGGCGACGAGGAUCGUUGCUUAGCUCGCUUCGUCUGCUGUCUCAACUGGCGAGCUGUCUUCUCAAUUUCAGGAUCAAACGAAAGUGUACCUAUAUGAGAAGAACGAACCAUACACCAAGUAAAACGUAAAAAGGAUUAAAUAAAUGACACCAAUCCCUGGCAACGCCGCCAAAAUUUGAUGGGUGUCGAAGCCAACAAAAAUAAAUUCCUACUCUAAAUAAAUUGUGUAUAGUGAUUGAGCAGGGUCGUGUCCACAGAGAUCGGUAAUUAUUUAAAUCCUUUUGAAACGUAAAACGUAAAAUGGGGGAAUUGUUGACAAUAAUAAAAAUCAAAUUAAAAUAACAAGAAUGCAAAUUAAAGUUAUAAUUCAAAUUAGAGAAAGCUCUGGUUGAAGGAAUUAACUCAGCUUGAUUCGACAAUUGAUCAUUGAUUCAAAUAUAGAUUCUUAUUACUUAUGAAUAGACCGGUUAUAGCUAUUGAGACCCUCUAAUAGUCAAUCUCUCCUUAACUAGUCGAUAACCAAGGUACGACCGUUGGAUAUUUCCCUAAUCAAUAGACAACCCUAGAUACGAUCAUAAGAUUUAAUCAAUUGACAGCCUGAAAAACUAGAGAGACCCAAAUCCUAAUCAACACAUAUGAUGAUUCAUUUAAAUUAGAUUGUUUAUUCUCACAACACAACUCUCUGCUAUGUUAUUUGUCACAAACAUUAAAUUCUUCAUACGAUGAAUCCUUUAAUUGACAAUAGUGGCCAAUUACCUAAUUAACAAACAUAAUAAUGAAACUAAUUCAGAGAAUAAACAAAUACCCAAAAAGUAAUAAAACAAUUAAAGCAUAAGAAAGAUCUCACAGUAGUGAUGAAUCAAAGCUUCAUUAUCCUUCAACCAGAAAAAUAGGUUUAGCUCUUCAUAGAGAGAAGAGAAAAAUUAGAUCUAGGAUUUCUUUCUUUUUCUCCAAUCCAAAUCCCCCAUUUUCACAAUAAAUUCCUCCCUUAAAUACUCUAUCUCUCUUCUCCUCUAGAAUUCUAUUUAAAAUAAAAUACUAAUAUCUGAAAUAUUAAAUUCGUAAUUACAAAAAUAACCAAAAAUACAAAACACCUUAAACUAAAAACUGCAGGUCCGUAGUUGACAACACGCGCCCACGCCUUAUCAAUAAAGUUCUUCUGACGCUCAUAAUUUCUCCAAGAGAACAAUCAUCCUUAAACAUUAUCUUAUAGCUCAAUUUUAUCAUCAAUCAAUAGAAUUGCACCUACAAAAGUAAAACACAAGUAAAUCACUAUUAUUAAGUGCAAAACCUUGAUAUUAAGGGAAGUAAAUAAUGCAAAACUAGUGCAUAAAUUGUACUCUAACAACAUCCGGUAUGCCGCUCGUGAAAUCCGAAUAGCCGUUUAAGUUCUAGAAACUUUCCACCCAAAUUCGGUCUGCCAUUUGUCAGGAUCUGGAUAGCCGCUUGCUAUAGUAACUGCUACAGUGAACUAUUUUCUAAAAUUACAGUUUGACCUUAAAAUUUUAUAAAACUGUAUUAUAGCCCAAAACGUUAUUAAAGUUUUCAAAUAGGUCCAGUUUUAGAAUUUCUAAAUAAUACUUUGUCAAUCCCAAAACUUUCUAAAAUUAUGAUAUCACCCAAAAUAUGUGAAAUUAUAGAAUGACCUAAAAUAUUUAAAUAUUUUCAAAUAGGUCCAAAUCUGAAAUUGAAAACAAUAUUUAUUAAAAUCAAAGAUUGUAAAAUUCUUUCAUUUUAGUCCACAACUUGAAAAACAACUUAACUCCAUAAAAAACAUUUUCUUAUUAUAAAAGCACAAUACAUAAAUCUUUGUUUAAUCAACACAUGUGGUUUGUUAUCAUCAAAUCAAUAUCUAUAAUCAUAUAGGCUAACAUAUGGAUCAUCCUUCUCACUUGGUUUGGCAACGGGAACCUGUGUUUUAGCUUGCAAACUAAUACCUUUUUCUUCUUUAAAAUUCAAAUUCAAGUAUUUAGUUUUAUAAACCAUCAAUUUUCCUAUAAGUAAACCCCUAGUCAUAGCAGACAUAUCAGCAUAUUCUUCAAUAGCCAAAAUUUUAGGAUGAUAUCUAGGAUGGACAUAUCUUAAGAUUUUUCUGUAAAUUUCUUCCUCAUAAAUAGGUUGUCCAAGAGCAAAAAAAUCAUUAACCAUAGCAAGAAUUCUAGAAUUAAAUUCAGAUAUGGUUUCAUGUUCAUGCAUUUUCAGAUUUUCAAAAUUAGAUGUAAGUUUUUGAAGUUUAGAACGUUUUACUGUAUUGUCGCCUUCAAAGGUACUCUGGAGUAUAUCCCAAGCAGCUUUGGAUGUCUUGCAUGUAGAAAUUAGUUGGUGCUGAAACACAUCAACUCCAUUCACAAUGGCAUUAAGUCCUUUUACAUUAUAUCCGGAUGCAUCAAGUUCAUCAUUAGUCCAUUCUCUGACUGGCUUGGGAGAUGCUACACCAUCUUCAUCAAUUUUGAUAGGUGGAGUAUAUCCUGUUAGUACGCAUUGCCAAACUCUUUCAUCAAUAGCUGUCAGAUAAAUUUCCAUCAUUUACUUCCAAUAAGCAUAAUCCGUCCCAUCUAAUACAGGUGGACGAGCCAAAGAGCCUCCAUCUCUUUGCAAACUCAUACCUACAAAAUAGAUCUAGGAUCCAAGAAUCUCACCAAAUAGUUAAUGUCCCGCUCUAAUACCAAUUGAAAGGAAUUUAGAUCUAUCGAAAAUAGAUGUAGGCAAUUAAAAACUAAAAAAUUAAUUACUUAAUUAAUUUUUUCGGAAGUAUUGUUCACAGUUACUGUUCAUCCAUAUAAAAAAUAUUAAUUUUCCAAAAACACAAUAAAAUGCAGAAAAUAAAUGACAUGGAGAUUUUUACGUGGUUCGGAUUAAUCAAUUCUACAUCCACGAGGCCACGCCUAGAUGAAAAGCAAUUCACUAAGUUGAGAUGUUACAACCUAUGUAUUAACCAAACUUAAGACUCUCACUUACAGUUUAUCACCAUACAGUUUACUUAACCUUAGAAUGAAUCUGCUUCUCUUGAAUAAUUGCUACCCCUCUUGAUCUAUGAUCCUCAAGGCACUUCGCAAAGUGAUCAAUAACAAUUCUUCAAUUCUUCAAUGUCUAGUGAUCCAAGAUCCACAUAGACUAUCCACAGAGAUGAAAAGAAGAUAAGAAAAUAAAUCAACACAACAUUAUGCGCCAAAUCCGGAUUCUUUAGAGAGGAGGCUGAAUUUUGCUUCUCUACUUUAUGCUAUGUGUUGUGCGGUCAAACUUCAAUUGUGAAAUACCUCUCUUUAUAAAGGCACUAGGGUUUCACCAAAAUAGCAAAUCUUAAAAGACUUGAAUUCUUUCCAAAUAAGAGUUUAUUUCCUCUUAUAAUUCCCAUGAAUCUUAAUAGGAUUAAAUAUGAUCUUCUUGUCUUACUUGUCUCCUAAGAAAUAUCUAGAGUAUUUAAUGAAUUCCUGUUUGAACCAACUUCUUGCUCUAAAUAGAUCUAAUGCGCCAAUUAUAGAAUCCCACCAUUAAUUGACUUGCUAAAAUAGAUAUCUAAUUAAAUUAGGAAACAAAUAUUCCUAAUAAAUUGGAAUCUCACUAAAUUAGAGAAUUAAUAAAUUAAUCCAUAUUACAAGAUAUGCAAUAAAUAAACUUUCAAUUUAACUAGACUUGUAAUAAAAUGCCAACUCUAUAAAUAAUGGACUUAACACUGUGACUUAAAAGUUAUAAGUAUCGGUAAAAAAAAAUUGUAGUUAUGAAUUAAAUAUUAUUAGUGCAUGUAAAUAUAAUCCUUAAAUAAUAAUUUUGACAAAAUAAUAAAGAUAUUUAAGUUUUUUGGUCAUAAAGUGUGCAAUAAAAUUAACUUAUCUUCCAAAGUACAUCAACUAUUGUUUAUCUAAUACUUCAAUGGCUUAACUUAGAAGAUUCAGCUAUGGGCUACAAAGUUGCACUAAAAAGGAGUUUUGAAUGACAAACCCUUUUUAUUAUGACUUGACACACGAU
rnacentral:lncRNA from 1 species